GGGAACUGAAACAUCUAAGUACCUGGAGGAAAGGACAUCAACAGAGACUCCGCUAGUAGUGGCGAGCGAACGCGGAUCAGGCCAGUGCCUCAGUGAAGAUAAGUGGAACCUUCUGGAAAGUUGGGCCGUAGCGGGUGAUAGCCCCGUACACGUAAUGCGGAUCUGAGGCCUCGAGUAGGGCGGGACACGUGAAAUCCUGUUCGAACAUGGGGGGACCACCCUCCAAGCCUAAGUACUCCUUACCGACCGAUAGCGAACCAGUACCGUGAGGGAAAGGUGAAAAGCACCCCGACAAGGGGAGUGAAAUAGACCUGAAACCGAAUGCCUACAAACAGUCGGAGCCCGCAAGGGUGACGGCGUACCUUUUGUAUAAUGGGUCUGCGACUUAGUCUGACGAGCAAGCUUAAGGCGAUAGCUGUAGGCGAAGCGAAAGCGAGUCUGAACAGGGGCGUUCAGUUCGUCGGACUAGACCCGAAA
rnacentral:rRNA from 1 species